CAGUCGCCACGGGAAUACGGAGGGUGCAAGCGUUAAUCGGAAUUACUGGGCGUAAAGCGCACGCAGGCGGUCUGACAAGUCAGAUGUGAAAUCCCCGGGCUUAACCUGGGAACUGCAUUUGAAACUGUCAGGCUGGAGUCUUGUAGAGGGGGGUGGAAUUCCAGGUGUAGCGGUGAAAUGCGUAGAGAUCUGGAGGAAUACCGGUGGCGAAGGCGGCCCCCUGGACAAAGACUGACGCUCAGGUGCGAAAGCGUGGGGAGCAAACAGGAUUAAAUACCCCAGUAGUCCCUGUCUCUUAUAC
rnacentral:rRNA from 1 species